rnacentral:ribozyme from 12 species
AUUGAGAGAGCAGUAGAAGCAGAAAAAGAGACAGACGAUCCAUUACCGUCACAAUAUUAUUUUCUGGUAAUUUUUUUUUUUUUUUUUUUUUUU